UUGAAAGGGAAACGAUUGAAGUCAGUCGUGCCGACGGGUAAUCAGCCUUUUGGGUGCGAUUAUGUGGUAUGUGGAAAGAUUUCACGAUCACAUAUUUGUGCUUUUUGGGUGUACUUUCUCGUAUGGUAGGUUAACAUCAAUUUUGGUCAUCAUAAAAUGACGGGAGGAAUGUAGCUUCCCCGGAAGUGUUAUAGCCUCUGGUAGAUGUGAUGAUCGGGAUUGAGGAUUGCAACGAAUGCCUCUGGGCUACCUGUCUGAUCUCUGGUUGUUGCUUUGGUGCUGAAAGCGUGCUUAUGGUAUCAAAGUGGGUGGCCAAAAGGUUAGAACGGGUUAAAUUCGUUAAGGAUGUUGACGUAAUGGCUUUAAACGACCCGUCUUGAAACACGGACCA
rnacentral:rRNA from 1 species